UCUUCCCUCUGUCGGCGUGCUUAACACAUGCAAGUCGAACGAAGCACCUUGAUUUGAUUCUUCGGAUGAAGAUCUUGGUGACUGAGUGGCGGACGGGUGAGUAACGCGUGGGUAACCUGCCUCAUACAGGGGGAUAACAGUUAGAAAUGACUGCUAAUACCGCAUAAGACCACAGCACCGCAUGGUGCAGGGGUAAAAACUCCGGUGGUAUGAGAUGGACCCGCGUCUGAUUAGGUAGUUGGUGGGGUAACGGCCUACCAAGCCGACGAUCAGUAGCCGACCUGAGAGGGUGACCGGCCACAUUGGGACUGAGACACGGCCCAAACUCCUACGGGAGGCAGCAGUGGGGAAUAUGGCACAAUGGGGGAAACCCUGAUGCAGCGACGCCGCGUGAGCGAUGAAGUAUUUCGGUAUGUAAAGCUCUAUCAGCAGGGAAGAAAAUGACGGUACCUGACUAAGAAGCACCGGCUAAAUACGU
rnacentral:rRNA from 1 species